rfam:Dipodomys ordii contig_34218, whole genome shotgun sequence.
GGUGGCUCAGUGGUAGAGUGCUUGCCUUGCAUGCAUGUGGCUCUGGGUUCGAUUCCUCAGCACCA